rnacentral:rRNA from 1 species
CUACGGAGGGGGCGAGCGUUAUUCGGAAUCAUUGGGCGUAAAGGGCGCGUAGGCGGCCUGACAAGUCAGGGGUGAAAUCCCUCGGCUCAACCGAGGAACUGCCUCUGAAACUGUCAGGCUUGAGGCCGGGAGAGGGUAGUGGAAUUCCCAGUGUAGCGGUGAAAUGCGUAGAUAUUGGGAGGAACACCAGUGGCGAAGGCGGCUACCUGGACCGGUUCUGACGCUGAGGCGCGAAAGUGUGGGGAGCAAGCAGGAUUAGAAACCCUAGUAGUCC